rnacentral:lncRNA from 1 species
UACCAAUCAUUUUGAACAAUAAAUUUUCGAUAAACUCCAUGAAGAAUUCGGAUGUCAUUUACUGCACCUACGACCGACCGACCGCGGUGAUAGGGACUGGUCCUCUUAAGUAGGGCCAUGAUGCAAAUGGGUAGUGGCAGGACAAAUUUAAAGGACUCGCCGGGGGAUCGUCCCAGCACCACCAUUUUCCUGAAGAUAAAUAGAAACGAAUUUUGUUGUAUUUAUUAAAUGUUACUACAUCUCAUAAAUGUCAGAAAACAGGUUUCCUAUUCAAUUCAUUAUUUAAAUGAAUGCGUCCAAUAUACCACCUCCCCCUUAAUAUAUUUCCUCUACUUUUCUCCGUCUCACUCACUAUUUCUGUCUGUCACACACGAUUUCUGUCUCUCAUGCACUCUUUUGCUCUUUCGAACUUUUUAUAUCUUGCAACUUAUAAUCGUGUACGAACUAUCGUUGUAAGCCUCAGAAUUCUUCACUGCUCAGACUCUACAGCCGAGUAGAAGUUUUAAAGUCUUUCAGAUACUACAGAUGUGAUUGUACUGUCUUCAUUUGUUUGGUGCUUUUUGAAUAAUAAUACGUAUUUACGCCAGUACUUUUAAAGCUUUGUGUGAGGCUGACGAUGACGAUCGGUGAAAUCUUUGAUUACUUACAUUCAUCCCGGACAAAAAACUUUGAGAGUUUACCUUCCAAUGAGUUUAGAUCUAUGACUUUCAAUUUACUGGUGUUUUGGUCGACGAUAAUUGUGGCAAGCUGUUUCAUCCAAUGUUUCGGCUGGACCUGGUCAUACUUGAUUCAGAUACUAGAAGCGUGGCCUCACAUUUUCGGUUCUUUGGAUAUCGAUGAUGAUGCUGACGAAGAACAUUAACACUAAAGUUCUUCACCUCCAGCUCAAACCUGACUCGUUGUCAGGUAUUAGUUUGUGAGAUUCUUGUAAGCAUGAUUUUAUGAUUCUAGUUCGUUCAAUAUUCAAUGAUGACGAUGUCAGUGGACAUUAGAUUUUUGAAGACAUAUUCAUCAUGUUGUAUUCAUCAUUUAAUAUUUGCAUAAGAGUUCACAAUUAAUCGCGAGGUCAUGCGUUUUAAUUUCCAUACUUUAGUUUAAAUAAUGAUUCCCGUGCACGUUAAAUUAGAAAUUGAACGCACAUAGAAAUACGUGAUACAGAAAAACAUACAUAGACAAUUUACACUUGAAAAUAAUUAAUGUUUUUAUAUAAUUGUAAUUUUAUAAGAUUCUAGUGUGUACAUAAAUACUAUAGUUAAUUAUAAUUAAAGCGAUGUAAUGAAAAUGUUAAGCAUUUGGUACAAUCCGUGGUAACAGGCAAUACAAUGUAAUGCGUUAAAUAUCUCAAAACAUGUAAUAGAUAUUAACACAAAUUUUGAAUAUACAAUGAGAAAUAACAUUUGGAAUACACCCAUCAAUGUUAGAUAAUAUAGAUACGCAAUUAAAUAUGUAUAUAGCGAAUAAAAUAACUUCUCUAUAAUGAUGUACGAUAUCCUAAAGUAA